rnacentral:rRNA from 1 species
AGUGAACGCUGGCGGUAGGCCUAACACAUGCAAGUCGAACGGCAGCACAGUAAGAGCUUGCUCUUACGGGUGGCGAGUGGCUGACGGGUGAGGAAUACAUCGGAAUCUACUUUUUCGUGGGGGAUAACGUAGGGAAACUUACGCUAAUACCGCAUACGACCUACGGGUGAAAGCAGGGGAUCUUCGGACCUUGCGCGAUUGAAUGAGCCGAUGUCGGAUUAGCUAGUUGGCGGGGUAAAGGCCCACCAAGGCGACGAUCCGUAGCUGGUCUGAGAGGAUGAUCCGCCACACUGGAACUGAGACACGGUCCAGACUCCUACGGGAGGCAGCAGUGGGGAAUAUUGGACAAAGGGCGCAAGCCUGAUCCAGCCAUACCGCGUGGGUGAAGAAGGCCUUCGGGUUGUAAAGCCCUUUUGUUGGGAAAGAAAAGCAGCAGGUUAAUACCCCGCUGUUCUGACGGUACCCAAAGAAUAAGCACCGGCUAACUUCGUG